GAUGAACGCUGGCGGCGUGCCUAAUACAUGCAAGUCGAGCGAACGGACGAGAAGCUUGCUUCUCUGAUGUUAGCGGCGGACGGGUGAGUAACACGUGGAUAACCUACCUAUAAGACUGGGAUAACUUCGGGAAACCGGAGCUAAUACCGGAUGAUAUUUUGAACCGCAUGGUUCAAAAGUGAAAGACGGUCUUGCUGUCACUUAUAGAUGGAUCCGCGCUGCAUUAGCUAGUUGGUAAGGUAACGGCUUACCAAGGCAACGAUGCAUAGCCGACCUGAGAGGGUGAUCGGCCACGCUGGAACUGAGACACGGUCCAGACUCCUACGGGAGGCAGCAGUAGGGAAUCUUCCGCAAAGGGCGAAAGCCUGACGGAGCAACGCCGCGUGAGUGAUGAAGGUCUUCGGAUCGUAAAACUCUGUUAUUAGGGAAGAACAUAUGUGUAAGUAACUGUGCACAUCUUGACGGUACCUAAUCAGAAAGCCACGGCUAACUACGUG
rnacentral:rRNA from 1 species